CCCUGUACCCUCGUGCAGCCGCCCCGCAGUUUCCCCCCCAGUGUUGCACUGUCCCGCACGUUCCGUGUCCUCCACCUCCCUCCAGCUGUUUCAUUUUUGUUUCGUGGCUGCUGUUAUUUGCCCCUUUAUUGUUUCAUGUUUUCUCCGUCUCGUUCCUUUUGUUCUCCGAUUCCUCCACGUAUUCCACACCUUUUUCUGAAUUUUCCAGUGCUUUUGUGUUUUUUCCCUCUUUUUUGCCUUGCGCACGCACUCGCCCGCANUUGCCGUUCCACGCUCACCAUUUGUGUUUUUCCCGGCCCCCGACGCCGUCCAUGACCCCAACCCGGGGGCUGACAUCCCAGACCGUAACCUUCCC
rnacentral:misc_RNA from 1 species